rnacentral:rRNA from 1 species
UACGGAGGGUGCGAGCGUUGUCCGGAUUUAUUGGGUUUAAAGGGUGCGUAGGUGGCUUUUUAAGUCAGUGGUGAAAUACAGCCGCUCAACGGUUGAGGUGCCAUUGAUACUGAAGAGCUUGAAACAAGUGGAGGCUGCCGGAAUGGAUGGUGUAGCGGUGAAAUGCAUAGAUAUCAUCCAGAACACCGAUUGCGAAGGCAGGUGGCUACGUUUGAUUUGACACUGAGGCACGAAGGCCAGGGGAGCAAACGGG